rnacentral:rRNA from 1 species
UUUGAGUUUGAUCCUGGCUCAGGACGAACGCUGGCGGCGUGCUUAACACAUGCAAGUCGAACGAUGAAGAGGAGCUUGCUCCUUGGAUUAGUGGCGAACGGGUGAGUAACACGUGAGCAAUCUGCCCUUGACUCUGGGAUAAGCGUUGGAAACGACGUCUAAUACCGGAUACGACCCUCGGAGGCAUCUCCUGGGGGUGGAAAGAAUUUUGGUCAAGGAUGAGCUCGCGGCCUAUCAGCUUGUUGGUGAGGUAAUGGCUCACCAAGGCGACGACGGGUAGCCGGCCUGAGAGGGUGACCGGCCACACUGGGACUGAGACACGGCCCAGACUCCUACGGGAGGCAGCAGUGGGGAAUAUUGCACAAUGGGCGAAAGCCUGAUGCAGCAACGCCGCGUGAGGGACGACGGCCUUCGGGUUGUAAACCUCUUUUAGUAGGGAAGAAGCGAAAGUGACGGUACCUGCAGAAAAAGCACCGGCUAACUACGUGCCAGCAGCCGCGGUAAUACGUAGGGUGCAAGCGUUGUCCGGAAUUAUUGGGCGUAAAGAGCUCGUAGGCGGUUUGUCGCGUCUGCUGUGAAAACCCGAGGCUCAACCUCGGGCCUGCAGUGGGUACGGGCAGACUAGAGUGCGGUAGGGGAGAUUGGAAUUCCUGGUGUAGCGGUGGAAUGCGCAGAUAUCAGGAGGAACACCGAUGGCGAAGGCAGAUCUCUGGGCCGUAACUGACGCUGAGGAGCGAAAGCAUGGGGAGCGAACAGGAUUAGAUACCCUGGUAGUCCAUGCCGUAAACGUUGGGAACUAGAUGUGGGGACCAUUCCACGGUCUCCGUGUCGCAGCUAACGCAUUAAGUUCCCCGCCUGGGGAGUACGGCCGCAAGGCUAAAACUCAAAGGAAUUGACGGGGGCCCGCACAAGCGGCGGAGCAUGCGGAUUAAUUCGAUGC